CGCAAAGGAAGGGCACGGAGUAAAUUGAUACACUUUUUCUGUUACGAAAUAUUUGGAUGUGGUUUCCCCAAAUCCACGCCUAUCAAACGUUUUUGAUGGAUUAAGUUCUUUAUAGUUUUCCGACAAUAUUGUUUGGAAACUGGCGCUUUCAUGUUGUUUAGGAUGCCGCCUUCGCGCUCCGCCUCUUUUGAGCAAUGCAAUUUUCGCUCAUUGACGAUUUCACAUUUUAACAUAUUUUAUAGACAAUCAAUUGCUAAGAUUGUAUCAGUUUUUGUGAAACCCAAAUCUUAUACUAGAACUUCUCUACGAAACCUAGAGUUACAAUACAAGCGUCAAUACACAUAUCAAAUGGCUAUUUACAGUAAUUAUUUAUAUUGCUUUGGCAAGUCUUCCGAUCGGUUUUCAAAUAUUCCUGUUUCCCAAAUUUGAGUAUUGUUUGUGUUAUUGAAUUCACAGUUCACAAUUAGUAGUUUUCGAUAUACUGGCUGAAACGUACAUCAGUUUACAUAAGUGCUUUGUUUCAGUUCCUGGGAGAUGUGAUUUAGUAAAUAAUGUACGAAAGUAUUUUUAGGCUUUGAGUAGAGAUACUAGAUUUCGGUGUUUCAUCUCAUUCCCAUACGUCAGGAAGCGAAAUUAGCCGGAGUUCACAAAUCACCUAUAAACUGUUUUUCAUUGUAUUAUUUGUUGUUUCUAGUUCAAAUUGCGCGCUUUUCAUGACAACCUUUGGCUCAAGGCUCAAGUCUCAAGUUCACAGUCUGUGACAUGUCAAGGCGAAGUUCUGCUCAACCCUAUAUUAAA